UUCCAUUUUUGCGGUUUUUUAUCAUGAAAAUCUUCAGUGUGCUUCUUAGUAUAGAGCAUGUAAUAGAUCCUUAAGCCAAUGCUGACCUUUGUCCAUGAAGGAAGAGGGACAUCCAGCAACGUUC